rnacentral:rRNA from 1 species
UAAAAGUAGCAAUACUUGGUGGCGACCGGCGCACGGGUGAGUAACGCGUAUGCAACCUACCUAUCAGGAAGGGGAACUAACCCGGCGAAAGUCGGACUAAUACCGCAUAAAACAGGGGCACCGCAUGGUGAUAUUUGUUAAAGAAAUUCGCUGAUAGAUGGGCAUGCGUUCCAUUAGGUAGUUGGUGAGGUAACGGCUCACCAAGCCGACGAUGGAUAGGGGAACUGAGAGGUUGGUCCCCCACACUGGUACUGAGACACGGACCAGACUCCUACGGGAGGCAGCAGUGAGGAAUAUUGGUCAAUGGGCGAGAGCCUGAACCAGCCAAGUCGCGUGAAGGGAAAAGAAGGAUCUAUGGUUCGUAAACUUCUUUUGCGAGGGGAAUAAAGUGCAGGACGUGUCCUGUUUUGUAUGUACCCUGAGAAUAAGGAUCGGCUAACUCCGUGCCAGCAGCAGC